rnacentral:lncRNA from 10 species
UUAACACCACUUGCUCAAUCCGUAUGCAAAUUUCGUUGUCUAUUUUGUUAAAACAUGUCCAUAUACGACCCUUUUCCACCACUGUUCAAGCCACUGUCAUCAUAUUAUAUAUCUCAUGCACAGGACUGUUUAAGAUAGGCCAACACGAUGCCCCUUCACAAGGACCCAAUAAAAUCUACAUUGUCUUAUGGCCCUACAGAUACCUUUGCCUCUUACCCUUGCCUCUCAUUUGGAAAAAUGUAUCUAGAUUUUAGGUUGGGAAAAACAGUUCUUAUUAAUAAAAUGCAUAUUCUUCUGAAUCUGUUGUUUGGUCAGGACCUACUAUGCAGUCUUGACUUUUGACAUUCAAUAGCCUAGAUUUUAAAAAUCCCAAGUUUCCUUUCUGUGUUUUGGUGCUUUGUCCUGUGGCAGUGAAUGCUUUACAAAUUCUAUUUUAAGUGGAGGAAGAACACGUUUAAAAAUAAUUUCUGGAAAUGAAAAAACAUAUCAUAAAAUGAAUGCCUCUCCCCAUAUAUACCAUUCGAAUAUUUUUAUUAUUCAUUAACAUUUUGAUGUAUUUUCUUCCAUCCUUUUUUCUCUGCUCAAUUUUGAAAACAUUUGCAACAAAAUAACCAUUUAAUUUUAUAUCCUGGAUUUCUUCCAAUUUAUCAUUAUAAUCUGAACACUCUUCAUAUUAUUAAAAACGUUCUAUAAAUAUCAUUUCAAUAAUUCCAAAAUAUUAUAUGAAUGUACAUAGUUUAUUUAACCAUGAUCAGUUAGAAUACUUUAAACAUUUUAAUUUGUAUGUAAUAUUUUGUAUGUUCAAAUUUACCAAAAUUUCUGAUUACUCCCGCAGUAUAGAAAAGUUAAAUUGCUAGGUCAAAGUGCUUUAACAUUUUACCAUUCUUGAUAUUAUAGCUUCAUGAUUAAGUGCAUGAAUUUUUAAAGUCAGAUAUACCCUAUAUGGAAUCCCGAAUCCACCAAAAUUAUGAGAAGUACUAUGUUGAAGAGGAACGGUGAGAGUAGGCAUCCUGGUCUUGUUCCCGUUCUCAGAGGGAAUGCUUUCAACUUUUCCCCAUUCGGUAUUAUAUUGGCUGUGGGUUUGUCACAGAUGGCUUUUAUUACAUUAAGAGAAGACAGCUAUAACUCCAAAAGUGAGAGAAAGUAGAAGACAUGCCAGUGCUCAAAAGCUACAAAUGUAACCAGAGCCGUGGCAUAAAAUGAAAUACUUCUGGUUCAUAUACUUCCACUGAGCAGCAUUGCAUUUUAUACACUUCUUCUUUAAUGGUUCAGACAUAUAGUUCUUAACAUCACAUGGAGACUCAUAACCUUCAGAAUACAGCAUGAAUCAGCUGGCUGCACUGCAAAGAGAAUACAAAAUACCAUCAAGAAUGUCCUAACUGGAACAGUAAACUUUUAAAGUACAAACAACUCAUCUGUUAGCAGCCUGGCAUUUUGCUUUCUGGAAAGUAAAUACAUUAGAGAGAUAUCUUUAAAGAGAGUCUAUUACCUGUGUAAGUCAGCAAUUUUCAAUCAUGACUGUAGCAGAUCCAGGUGAGAGACACUGCGACCUGGCCUUAUAGCAGGACCAAUAAGCAUAAGCAAUCCCUUGGUCCUAAGAGUUUGUGCAUACUUAUAUAUACAUGAUGUCUCUUAAAUAACCCAGAAAAAAUGCUCUGAGAAGACCUGAAUUACAAGUGUGUGGAAUACCUCCAUCUUCUGCUUAACUGAUGUCCAGCUUAGUGAGAGAUGUUUUCUAUUUAAUCCCACACCUUGUGUAGGAUGGGAUAAGAAUUAUAAAUUAACAAGUCAACUAUAUUAAAAGAGAAAUUGAAGAAUGACUUAAACCUUCUCAGUCUCAAAUUACUCCGUCCUGGAUACAUAUAGUUGAAUCCUGUUAAGUAAAAUACAAGUGUAAUAUGUCGUCCCCAUGCUCUAAAACACUACAAUAAGAAAGGAGACAAAAGAAAGAAAAUUAUAAUAAAAUCUUAUCUUCAGGAAUCCUUAAGAGAAUACAUCAUUCUGAACUGUCAAAGAUUUGCUCACUUGAAUCUUCUUAUAAAAAUCUUUCUAAAUUGCAUUGCUUAUUUCACUACAUUCUUAAACAACGUACUCUAUAAUUUAAUCUGUUCUUAGAUGAUAUAAGAUUAUUGUUAUUUUAAAAUAAAAGUCCACUCUAGUGUACAGCAAUGGUGGCUGCAUGAUCUACUGUGGUGGAUAAGACUGAGUAUUGCUGAGCUUUGUGAGUUAUUUUGUUUUGCUUUAUGGAUACUGUUUUUUUUUUUUUUGCUGAAGGAAACCAGUAUUGUUUUCUGUUAUAUUUGCAAUCAAAAGCAUCUUAACUGAAAGAAUUUGGAAUCAGGAAGUAGGGUGUUACAUAAAGCCAUGAAAGUGUCCUUAAUAUUUUGGGAAGAUAAUGUAGAAGUAUAUGGCGUAAAAUGACUAAAUGGUAAUUAAAUUAUCUUCCUUGGUCACCUGAGCUCAACUGCCCAACAGGAUAUAAAGCUCUAGGAGACAAUGUUGCCACCACCAGUGAAGAAUUCAAACAAUUCAGUGACUAUCAGUAGAAGUCAGUGUUUCUGAUGCAUUAGUAAUAUUAAAGAAAGAGAUUAUCAAAUUCAAAUACAUAAAUUUUUGUCUCACGGUACGAACUAAAACCUAGGAACUUUUAGUUACUGGGCUAACAGCACCUCUAAUGUCUUUUAUUUCCCCAAAUCACAUUGUAAUGAUUUGGCAUCCAGUAAGAGUAACGAAAUAGGUGGUCAGAGUAAAUAGAAAACCCCACUGAUUAGAAAGAGGAAUCAGUGAUAAUACUUCUUUCAUUUACCAUUGGUUACUGUUUUUCAAAAAUGAGAACAUUUAGAGAUUUAGCAAAAGCAUUACGCAUCUCCAUCUGCUUUCCAUGUCAGGCAAGACAGAUACUACUCACUACAAAUAAUUAUUUAAAGGAUGGAGGGAGGAGGAGGAAAUCCAGAAACAAUGUUUAUUUGAACAUCUUGAAAGACAGCACAAUUAUGCUGUUUUAUAAGACAUGUAUAACUUAUUAUUGUAAGAACUUUAAGGUUUUUUUUUUCAUUUUUUUUUUUGCUGGUCUGUAUAUUCUAAAUUUUAUUUAUACCUAUGUAUUAUAUUUGUUAUAAGAAUAUAAGCACAAUAGAAAAG